UGGCUCAGAACGAACGCUGGCGGCAGGCUUAACACAUGCAAGUCGAGCGGGCGUAGCAAUACGUCAGCGGCAGACGGGUGAGUAACGCGUGGGAACGUACCUUUUGGUUCGGAACAACACAGGGAAACUUGUGCUAAUACCGGAUAAGCCCUUACGGGGAAAGAUUUAUCGCCGAAAGAUCGGCCCGCGUCUGAUUAGCUAGUUGGUAGGGUAAUGGCCUACCAAGGCGACGAUCAGUAGCUGGUCUGAGAGGAUGAUCAGCCACAUUGGGACUGAGACACGGCCCAAACUCCUACGGGAGGCAGCAGUGGG
rnacentral:rRNA from 1 species